GGGGAAGGCUCUCUACUGGAGAUCCACUCUGUUGGAGUUUCCUAAGUGAGCCUAGGAUACGAGAGAACAUCUGAAAUACCACCACGUAAGGUAUUCAAAGUGAAGAUAUCUGACAAUCUUCUUCAUCGUGGAGAAAAAACAGUGCUCAAGAAAAUGUAAUUGGACUCAGCCUGAUGACAUCUGUGUUCAAGAAUUUUUUUGAACUGAUUUCCCUACCAAGCACUAGAACAAAUAUCUUGCAGUAUUGUCUUUCAUGGUUUGAAUUAAAUAAAUGAAUGGAACAAUGCUUUUUUUUUUUUUGCAUAUAACCUUUCUUCAGCAUGCUGUCACAAAUAAUUGUUCAACAGUUCAUCAACUUUAUUAUUUACAAAACAUUACAAUUAAAAAAGAUUAAAAUUUGAAGAAAACAUGCUUUUAAUAGCUAAUCUUGAAGUUCUGUUGGGUGAGUUUCAAUAAAAUAUUAAUGCUUAUAUUGUUACUCUGAUACUAACUGAAAAUACGAUGUAAAAUGUUUCUAUCAAACACUGAGGGAUAACCAGUUUACACAUGAACAAUCAAGUGAAAGGGCUGGUCAAAAUUCACAUAGAGAUUGAUGAAACUAAAGAUAAAGAGAUGAAUAUCUGAAAAAUAAUUGGAUCAGCUUAUGGGAUGCAUUAUGGGAGGGGAAAUCUCCAUUUCAUUCAAAUUAGGUGGGAACACUGAUAGUUGAGAUGCUGCGGCUUUCCUUUUUCUUCAUAUAUUA